AGUAGGAAGCUACCGGUGUUGAGCCCGAUCCAGUUGUGAUCGUCGUAGAUCAUCUCGUUCCAUCCAUGCAUCACUAGGUUGUAAGGCGCGUAGCGGUCCCAGGGGAGCUCGAAUGCCAUGUCGGUGAACAUUGCGUCGGAGUCCAUCCACCAGAUGAACUCGGCCUCCGGGUGGGAGAGGAGGAGCUUGCGGAGGAGGGGGAGCUUGGCCCAAAAGCCGGCCAUCUCGGCGUCGAGCAGGGCCAAGUUGUAGAAGAUGUCGAUGGAGUGGAUGCGGCAGUAAUCGAUCUUGUUUUUGAUGGAUUUGAGGAGGUAGUGGUCGCCGACGGGGUUUUCGCAGGGUUUGGGGGAGGAGCCGGUGACGAGGAGGGUGCGGGGCUUGGAGGGGGAGAGGAAGGCGGGGGUGAGGGGGUGGUCGGCGAGCCAGCGGGAGCGCUGGGCGUCCCAGUCGGAGAUCUUGGGGCCGAGGGAGUAGGGUUUGGAGGGAUCCGGAUCGGAAUCGGCGGCGUCGGUGGAGGCGUGGGAGGGCUGCUGUUCGAUGAGGGCGCGGUGGGGGUGGUGGAGGGAGUGGCGGAUCUGGAUGAAGUCCUGCUCGGGAGUGCCGAACUUGCCGGCCCCGAUCGUGCCGCGGAGGACGAUGAAGGUGAGGAAGAGGCAGAGGAGGGUGAGCUUACCGUUGCGGAGAGCGCGGUGUAUCUGGCGGGCCCGCCGCUCGCCGACGCAGCGGGCGAGCAUCUCCGGCGAGUGGUGGGUUGGUGGUGGUGGUGGUGGGGGGGUUGUUGCGAGGGUGAGGGUGGAGAAGAGGUUAAAUUAGGGCGACGAUGAAUGAUUGAGGGGAAGGGACGACGUUGGCACGUUGUGUGUGUCGGCGAAUCUGGCCGGGACAGG
rnacentral:misc_RNA from 1 species